UAACAUAUUGGAUAGAAUAUAUUGACAAAGAUAAUGAACAGUUCAGCCAUAAGCAUCCUCAGAAAGAGAAUUCUGGUUUACAACACUGGUAGUCACAUGAAAAUUUAUCAAAAAAUGGGCAUAUAUGCUAAGUCAAAGAAGAACAGUACAAUGAUACAUUGAGCUUAUAUAGCAUACAAAAGGCAGGCUAUGUAGACAUAAAACAUCAUCGAUAUAAUUAUUCAUAGAUUCAGAUAUAGACCGGAUAUGUUCUACAUACAUAGUACAUGACUUAGUUGGUUCAUCCUGAUCUACUCUCAUACGAUAUGGUAGACAAAAGAUAGCACUCGGCGUACAUAAGGACCUUGAUCGCCAUCGUGCCUUCUUGUUGCCUUUUGACUUAAUCAAUUGCCUUCAAAGAAGCAUCAAGGAACCACAUUAGUGGCUACAUAAGCAAGUAGAGUAAAAGUACUGACCAAUAUCUAAAGAUACUAAUCACAAUCACAAUUCAUUCUCGAGUUUACUUCAUAAUUAGCAGGAACAUGUGGGAAGAGGUGGCAACUCACCUACGGCAAGGAGCAUACAAAUUAUUAGGAGCUCUUCCUUUCCCGUAGUAUGAACAUGACGCCGCUGCCUUGCACCUUGAUGCGCCGCCAUUGCGACCAGCCAAUUAAAAUGUAACGCCCACGAUGCGGCUAUAUCUCCCACGUGUCGAGGCACGACUUAGAGGCAUAACCGCAUUGUGGUCUUGUCGCAAGAAGGGUCAUCUUCACACAAUCCCAUGUAAUGAACAAGAAUGGGAUAAAGAAUUGGCUUACAAUCGCCACUUCACACAAUACAUAAAUAAAACAUACAUCAUUCAGAGAUACACACAUAAGUCCGACUACGGAACCAAAAGAAAAGAAGACAACCCAACUGCCAGAUCCCUGAUCGUCCCAACUGGGCUCCACUACUGAUCAAAAUGAAAAGAAACAACACAACGAACAAGAUCUUCAUCGAGCUCCCACUUGAGCUCAGUUACAUCACCUGCACUGGUAUCAUCGGCACCUGCAACUAUUUGGAAGUAUCUGUGAGUCACGAGGACUCGGCAAUCUCACACCCG
rnacentral:lncRNA from 1 species